GACGAACGCUGGCGGCGUGCCUAAUACAUGCAAGUCGAGCGAACAGACGAGGAGCUUGCUCCUCUGACGUUAGCGGCGGACGGGUGAGUAACACGUGGAUAACCUACCUAUAAGACUGGGAUAACUUCGGGAAACCGGAGCUAAUACCGGAUAAUAUAUUGAACCGCAUGGUUCAAUAGUGAAAGACGGUUUUGCUGUCACUUAUAGAUGGAUCCGCGCCGCAUUAGCUAGUUGGUAAGGUAACGGCUUACCAAGGCAACGAUGCGUAGCCGACCUGAGAGGGUGAUCGGCCACACUGGAACUGAGACACGGUCCAGACUCCUACGGGAGGCAGCAGUAGGGAAUCUUCCGCAAUGGGCGAAAGCCUGACGGAGCAACGCCGCGUGAGUGAUGAAGGUCUUCGGAUCGUAAAACUCUGUUAUUAGGGAAGAACAAAUGUGUAAGUAACUAUGCACGUCUUGACGGUACCUAAUCAGAAAGCCACGGCUAACUACGUG
rnacentral:rRNA from 1 species